CAUUCUUCCGGAAGACGUCCCCCAAGAAGAGCUAGGUGAGGGCUCACCUAUUCUCACCGAAGCAAGCGGAUAAAUGCUCUGCCUCACUUUCCAGUCGAUCCCCGGCGAAGACCCCGAGCUUUCCAAAACCCUAGCCUCUUGGGAAAGAGGAAUCCAAACCCGCAGCUUCUCACUUGGUCACUCUUCUCUCCGCCGGCGAAUCGAAUUGGGUCGGGGGAUUGAUCAGUCCCGGUGAUCUCUGGUGGUGAGCGGCGGCGGCGGCGGCGGCGGUGAUGGACUUCUUGGAGGGGAACCUGGAGCUGAGGGAGAGGCAGAGGCUGGAAGGCCACACCGAUCGCGUUUGGAGCCUAGCGUGGAAUCCAGCAACCGGAGUCUGUGGGAUUCCGGCCAUGCUGGCCUCUUGCAGCGGCGACAAGACCGUCAGGAUCUGGCAGCAGGGUCCAUCUGGUUCUUGGGAUUGCUCGGCUGUUUUGGAAGAUAAUCAUACUCGCACAGUCAGGUCUUGUGCAUGGUCUCCUAGUGGAAAGUUACUGGCAACAGCAAGUUUUGAUGCUACCACUGCUAUAUGGGAAUGUGUCGGUGGUGACUUUGAAUGUGUUGCUACACUGGAGGGUCAUGAAAAUGAAGUUAAGAGUGUUUCAUGGGAUGCUUCUGGCUCCUUGCUAGCCACAUGUGGUCGAGACAAGACUGUUUGGAUAUGGGAAAUGCAACCUGGUAAUGAGUUUGAGUGUGUAUCUGUGUUGCAAGGUCAUACCCAGGAUGUCAAGAUGGUGCAAUGGCAUCCAUUUAUGGAGGUUCUGGUUUCUGUCAGCUAUGACAACUCAGUCAAGAUCUGGGCAGAGGAUGGUGACAGUGAUGAUUGGCAUUGUGUGCAAACACUAAAUGAAGCUAGCAGUGGUCAUACAUCAACAGUUUGGGCAGUGUCUUUCAACUCUAAUGGAGAUAGAAUGGCUACCUGCAGUGAUGAUCUGACAUUAAAGAUAUGGGACACUAGUGCUAAAGCAUCUGAGACAAGUGGCAGUAGCUGUGGAUCUUGGGUAACCCAGUAUUCCUUUUAUUUGGACUUAUUCUGUGACGCAAGGGACAAAAGGAGACACCUCUGUACCAUCUCUGGUUAUCAUGAUCGAACCAUAUUUUCAGUUAAUUGGUCAAGGGACGGUGUCAUCGCUAGUGGAGCAGCUGAUGAUGCUAUUCGUCUUUUUUUUGAGAGCAAAGACAACUCGGUUGAUGUACCGUCGUACAAAUUACUGCUUAAGAAAGAAAAGGCCCAUGACAUGGAUGUAAAACUCAGUGCAAUGGAAUCCAAAGGAACCUAAACUUCUGGCCUCAGCUAGUGAUGAUGGGAUAAUAAAGAUAUGGGAACUAUCGGAAGUAGCCUGAUGAUAAUUUUUGCAGUGUGCAGGGCCUGCAGGCCGAUGUCUGAUGUCUUUAAUUUAAUUUUUGGGUCUGCAUAGGAAUUGAAAUGUCAAGCACACGAUAGUCUCAAAGUGCUACUACGAGACUUGUAGCAUAACUAUUUUACUCGUUUUGCAUCUCCGAACUCCUGGGGGAGAGAGAGAGAGGGACAGAAUCUGCUGGCCUAUUGAAAACUCUUUUUAUAGUACUUCAUUCUUCUUCGUAGCUUCAAAAUAAAUGUAUUUACGAAGUUCAAGAGCUUUA